rnacentral:misc_RNA from 1 species
CCCGUCUGCGGCUCCGGUGACAGCCGCCACCGCUUCGGACUCCAGAUCCUUUAUCACGUACAGCAGCUAGCCCAUGAAUGUUCCGGCGGCAGCGUCUCAGCCUCCGCACCGCCCUUCAUCCCUUCGUUCAGCAGCUCCUCCCAAAAGUCGUCGUGAGCUCCGCCGUCUCGAACCCGCGCUGCUGCUGGCUCCACGCGCGGCCACCCUGCUUCUCGCCCCCGUCCUGCUUGCGCUUGCCGAGCCCCUAGAUGUUGAGCGCCAGGUUCUCCAGCUCCGACGUGGUCCCUCGCUCGUCCAGCUCCGCAAACAGCGCUCGCGUGGCAGUGGGGUCGUCGUCGUCGCCCUGCUGCGGCUCCUCCUCCUCCUGCACGCCACCGUGGGUCG